rnacentral:rRNA from 1 species
GACCUCUGAGCUCCAGAUUGGGACAGAGGGAAUCAGCAUAAUUUUUUGUGGUGCAUUUACUUGAUUGGUGCUUGGGGAUGUUUGAGGCAGAUUUGUUUCCGUCGUUUUGAGGCCAGCUUGCUGGUACCCAAACGGUGUUAGCAUUUUUUGUCUUGGGCAUUUGAGUAUGGCUCACGUGUAUUUAUUGGACAGAUCUGAGUGUAAGUUACGGUCGCAUGCGACACGUGCUUUUCAAUUAGUUCGGUCCAGUUAAUGCUCUCGUACUCGUUCCCCAUGUAAAAGCCGGUCAUCUAUCCGACCCGUCUUGAAACACGGACCAAGGAGUUUAUCGUGUGCGCAAGUUUUUGGGUGUUAAAAACUUAAAAGCGAAAUGAAAGUAAAUGACUCUUUAGAGUCUGAUGUGCGAUCUUGUAAAAAAGUGUAGCAUGGCCCCAUUCUAACUGUUUACAGUAGGGUGGCGGAAGAGCGUACGCGGUGAGACCCGAAAGAUGGUGAACUAUUCCUGAGCAGGACGAAGCCAGAGGAAACUCUGGUGGAAGUCCGAAGCGGUUCUGACGUGCAAAUCGAUCGUCUGA